rfam:Rachicladosporium antarcticum strain CCFEE 5527 scaffold_45, whole genome shotgun sequence.
GGGCCAGUGGUCUAAUGGUUAGGAUUGCUGCCUUCCAAGCAGCAGGUUCGGGUUCAAUUCCCGGCUGACUCA